rnacentral:rRNA from 1 species
AGUGAACGCUGGCGGUAGGCCUAACACAUGCAAGUCGAACGGCAGCACAGUAAGAGCUUGCUCUUACGGGUGGCGAGUGGCGGACGGGUGAGGAAUACAUCGGAAUCUACUUUUUCGUGGGGGUUAACGUAGGGAAACUUACGCUACUACCGCAUACGACCUACGGGUGAAAGCAGGGGAUCUUCGGACCUUGCGCGAUUGGAUGAGCCGAUGUCGGAUGAGCUAGUUGGCGGGGUAAAGGCCCACCAAGGCGACGAUCCGUAGCUGGUCUGAGAGGAUGAUCAGCCACACUGGAACUGAGACACGGUCCAGACUCCUACGGGAGGCAGCAGUGGGGAAUAUUGGACAAUGGGCGCAAGCCUGAUCCAGCCGUACCGCGUGGGUGAAGAAGGCCUUCGGGUUGUAAAGCCCUUUUGUUGGGAAAGAAAAGCAGCAGGUUAAUACCCCGCUGUUCUGACGGUACCCAAAGAAUAAGCACCGGCUAACUUCGUG